rnacentral:rRNA from 1 species
CCACGKGUWGCCAGUGAAARUGGKUAGAGAUGKGGAGGACCCCCGAKGGGGAGGGCAGCCCCUGGGUCGGACASUGACGCUCAUGCMCGAAAGCGUGGRGAGCAAACAGGAUUAGAUACCCCUGGUAGUCCACGCCCUAAAACGAUGCGAACUAGGUGUUGGGGAAGGAGACUUCUWUAGUACCGUAGCUAACGCGUGAAGUUUCGCCGCCUGGGGAGUACGGUCGCAARAUUAAAACUCAAAGGAAUUGACGGGGACCCGCACAAGCGGUGGAUGAUGUGGAUUAAUUCGAUGCAACGCGAAAAACCUUACCUACCCUUGACAUGCCCGGAACCCUGCUGAGAGGCGGGGGUGCCCGAAAGGGAAUCGGGACACAGGUGCUGCAUGGCUGUCGUCAGCUCGUGUCGUGAGAUGUUGGGUUAAGUCCCGCAACGAGCGCAACCCUUGUCAUUAAUUGCCAUCAUUUGGUUGGGCACUUUAAUGAGACUGCCGGUGACAAACCGGAGGAAGGUGGGGAWGACGUCAAGUCCUCAUGGCCCUUAUGGGUAGGGCUUCACACGUCAUACAAUGGUCGGUACAGAGGGUUGCCAAGCCGCGAGGUGGAGCCAAUCCCAGAAAGCCGAUCGUAGUCCGGAUCGGAGUCUGCAACUCGACUCCGUGAAGUCGGAAUCGCUAGUAAUCGCGGAUCAGCAUGUCGCGGUGAAUACGUUCCCGGGUCUUGUACACACCGCCCGUCACACCAUGGGAGCGGGUUCUACCAGAAGCAGUUAGCCUAACCGCAAGGGGGGCGAUUKCCACGGUAGGAUUCGUGACKGGGGUGAAGUCGUAACAAGGUAACCGU